GGGGCGCCUUCUCUGAGCCACACUGGGUGUAACUUCAGUCCGCACUUCUGCCUCAGGCAGGUGGCUGGCCAAGAGCCACAGACAGCUCCCAUUGUGACUGUCCACAGAGCUCGGUGACACACUUCUAUGGCACAGAUCACAGACCAGAGGAGCCUGGGUGGGGGUGCACACACCCACCCCCAGAGUCAGGAGAACUCAUACACUAGCUGUGUGGUGAUCAGCCCUGAGAUGCCUGCGGAAGAGGCAGAGAAAGAAGUGGAAAGGGGAGCUCAAUUGAAAGCACAAAUGUCAAUCAACGAUCAAAGAAAUCCAACAGUUCAGGAGAUAUUUCUCACCUAUGAUGUUGGCAAAGAUAAUAAAGGUCAGUAACAGGCUAUAUUACAGCAGGUGGAAGCAAAACUGGCA
rnacentral:lncRNA from 1 species